rnacentral:rRNA from 1 species
GGGCGUAAAGAGCUCGUAGGUGGUUCGUCACGUCGGAUGUGAAAAUCUGGGGCUUAACCCCAGACCUGCAUUCGAUACGGGCGAGCUUGAGUAUGGUAGGGGAGUCUGGAAUUCCUGGUGUAGCGGUGGAAUGCGCAGAUAUCAGGAGGAACACCAAUGGCGAAGGCAGGACUCUGGGCCAUUACUGACACUGAGGAGCGAAAGCGUGGGGAGCGAACAGGAUUAGAUACCCUGGUAGUCCACGCCGUAAACGGUGGGCACUAGUUGUGGGGACCUUCCACGGUCUCUGCGACGCAGCUAACGCAUUAAGUGCCCCGCCUGGGGAGUACGAUCGCAAGAUUAAAACUCAAAGGAAUUGACGGGGCCCCGCACAAGCAGCGGAGCAUGCGGCUUAAUUCGACGCAACGCGAAGAACCUUACCAAGGCUUGACAUAUACAGGAAUAUGGCAGAGAUGUCAUAGCCGCAAGGUCUGUAUACAGGUGGUGCAUGGUUGUCGUCAGCUCGUGUCGUGAGAUGUUGGGUUAAGUCCCGCAACGAGCGCAACCCUCGUUCUGUGUUGCCAGCAUUAAGUUGGGGACUCACAGGAGACUGCCGGGGUUAACUCGGAGGAAGGUGGGGAUGACGUCAAAUCAUCAUGCCCCUUAUGUCUUGGGCUGCACGCAUGCUACAAUGGCUGGUACAAACGGCUGCGAUACCGCAAGGUGGAGCGAAUCCGAUAAAGCCAGUCUCAGUUCGGAUUGGGGUCUGCAAUUCGACCCCAUGAAGUCGGAGU